GCAGGGAUGGCAGAACGGUCAUGCACCCGCCUGCAGAGCGGGUUAAGAGGGUUCAACUCCCUCUCCUUGCU
rnacentral:tRNA from 1 species